AACGAACGCUGGCGGCAUGCCUAACACAUGCAAGUCGAACGAUCCCUUCGGGGAUAGUGGCGCACGGGUGCGUAACGCGUGGGAACCUGCCCUUAGGUUCGGAAUAACUCAGAGAAAUUUGAGCUAAUACCGGAUAAUGUCUUCGGACCAAAGAUUUAUCGCCUUUGGAUGGGCCCGCGUUGGAUUAGCUAGUUGGUGGGGUAAAGGCCUACCAAGGCGACGAUCCAUAGCUGGUCUGAGAGGAUGAUCAGCCACUCUGGGACUGAGACACGGCCCAGACUCCUACGGGAGGCAGCAGUGGGGAAUAUUGGACAAUGGGCGAAAGCCUGAUACAGCAAUGCCGCGUGAGUGAUGAAGGCCUUAGGGUUGUAAAGCUCUUUUACCCGGGAUGAUAAUGACAGUACCGGGAGAAUAAGCCCCGGCUAACUCCGUG
rnacentral:rRNA from 1 species